GGACGAACGCUGGCGGCGUGCUUCAUACAUGCAAGUCGAACGAGAAGCUGACUUCGGUCAGUGGAAAGUGGCGGACGGGUGAGUAAUAUGUAGAGAAUCUGCCCCUUUAGUGGGGGACAACAGAGGGAAACUUCUGCUAAUACCCCAUAUGAGCUAAGCUGAAAUGCUUAUCUUGAAAACUCCGGUGCUAAAGGAUGAGUCUGCAUCUGAUUAGCUAGUUGGCGGUGUAAUGGACCACCAAGGCGACGAUCAGUAGCUGGUUUGAGAGGAUGAUCAGCCACAAUGGGACUGAGACACGGCCCAUACUCCUACGGGAGGCAGCAGUAGGGAAUUUUGCGCAAUGGGCGAAAGCCCUGACGCAGCAACGCCGCGUGAACGAUUAAGCCCUUCGGGGUGUAAAGUUCUGUCAGUAGGGACGAAACUUGACGGUACCUACAGAGGAAGCACCGGCUAACUCCGUGCCAGCCGCGGC
rnacentral:rRNA from 1 species